UCCCUGAUAGCUCAGCUGGUAAAGAAUCUACCUGUCAUGCAGAAGACCCCGGUUCGAUUCCUGGGUUGGGAA
rnacentral:tRNA from 1 species